rnacentral:rRNA from 1 species
UUGAUCCUACGGGGCGCAGCAGUGGGGGAUAUUGCACAAUGGGGGAAACCCUGAUGCAGCGACGCCGCGUGGGCGAAGAAGUAUUUCGGUAUGUAAAGCCCUAUCAGCAGGGAAGAAGAAAUGACGGUACCUGAGUAAGAAGCACCGGCUAAAUACGUGCCAGCAGCCGCGGUAAUACGUAUGGUGCAAGCGUUAUCCGGAUUGACUGGGUGUAAAGGGGGCGCAGACGGCGAUGCAAGCCAGGAGUGAAAGCCCGGGGCCCAACCCCGGGACUGCUCUUGGAACUGCGUGGCUAGAGUGCAGGG